rnacentral:tRNA from 1 species
AUAUGUAUAGUAUAUUUAUAAUAUUUUGUCUUUCCAAGUCAAAGAUCUAAGAAUUUAGUACAUAUA